rnacentral:misc_RNA from 1 species
AAGGAUCAUUCAUAAUUGGCCCAGUAUGGGGGCCCUUUAAACAUCCAUAUUCUCCACCUUGUGUGCAAUGUUUUUAUAUAGGAAGACUUGAAAAGGUCUUACUGUAUAUUAUAUAUCGACUCUUAGUGAUCUUUUAUUUUUUCAUUGUCUGUAAAAUAAAGACUAAUAAGUCAAUCUGAAGAUACAACUUUCAACAACGGAUCUCUUGGCUCUCGCAUCGAUGAAGAACGCAGCGUAGCCAGCAUCGACGUGGAAGUAAAAGUCGUAACAAG